UACCAGCACCCCGAGUGGUCGGGACGAUUAUUGGGCCUAAAGCAUCCGUAGCCGGUUUUACAAGUCCUCCGUUAAAUCCAGCUGCUUAACAGAUGGGCUGCGGAGGAUACUAUAAGACUAGGAGGCAGGAGAGGCAAGCGGUACUCAGUGGGUAGGGGUAAAAUCCGUUGAUCCAUUGAAGACCACCAGUGGCGAAGGCGGCUUGCCAGAAUGCGCUCGACGGUGAGGGAUGAAAGCUGGGGAGCAACCGG
rnacentral:rRNA from 1 species